UGAAUCAUGAAUUAGAUCAAAAUAAUUUUUAGAUUUAUGCAUAUAUCUACAUAUCACAUAUAUAUGAAUUAGAAAUUGAUCUAGAAUAAAUUUUAGAUCUAUGUAUGCCUUCACAUAUCAAAUAUAUAAGCUAAAAAUUAAAUCUAAAAUAAAUUUUAGAUUCAAAGUAAUUAUCUAUACAUCUCAUGUUUUAAGAAAAAUUUGAUCUGAAAGAAGAUAGGUUCAAAUC
rnacentral:lncRNA from 1 species